rnacentral:lncRNA from 1 species
UCAGGGUUUCCUCCCACCUUAAAUCAUUUAUGUUUCUGGAUGAAAGACACAUACAGCCGUUAUAUUGUUAAAUAUCUCUUAGGCAGCACUAUAGCUCAGCAACUGCCUACCCUUGGUGCUGUUAGAAUCUAAUUUUCCAUCGAUAACCCAAACCAUCACUGCUGCUCUUACCUCCAACCAGGCAGCUCUCUGGCCCACAGUCCCUAGCCCAUGGUGGCUUUCCUUUCUCCUCUCCUGCAUGGGUGAAUGUAUAUAAAAGGAAUCCUACAUGAGUCCUAGAUUAAUACAUUAUUGUUCAUUUGAAUUUCUAACAGGGAAGGACAAAAUCUAAUCAACAAAAUAAUGUUUCCAUGUGAGCUAAAAUGCAAAGGUCGUGAGAGCAACCAUCUUAGGUCUUUAUUGUUCUUAGAAUGCAAAAGUUCUUUCUUCUAUGCCACUUCGUUGGAAACCUCUGUUUUUCUCACUCUUAUCAGAUUGGUCAAAAACAAUGGGGAGGUUUUGGAUUUGACUGUCCUUUGGGGAAUUCAGACUAUUCUUGCUAAGAAUGUAAUUCAGGCACUCCACAAUUCCAGUUAACUGCCUGAGUCACUACCAAUCCUCCCCCUGGGGUCUUAAACUUUCAGUGACUUGGGGAAGGGUGCAUUGUUUGGCUUUACGUUGAAUAAUAGUGGUUUUAUAAUUGGAAGCCUCUUAAGGUGUGGUGUGAUAUUAAAAACCAGAUAGGAAACAUAGGAGAGAGUAAACUCAAAACAGCUAUUGUUUCCACUUGAAAUGCAAUUAGUUGUAGAUGACUUUUUUUUAAAAGUAUUUUCUAUGUUACUUAUUUCUUACAAGUGGCAAUUUUAAGUGCUAUUUCCAGAUAUCAGCCAGUCAGAUUAAGAUGACAUUGAGCUAUUUUGUGACGCAGACAGCUUUUUUUUCAAUGAAGAAAUGAAAACAUAUGACAAUUUAAGAAGCAUACAUUGGGUUGCUUAUGUAUAUUUUUAAAUUGCUGGUAUUAUUUUAAAUAUACAUAAUUGCUUAUGUAUAUUUUAAAAUUUCUUUAUGGAGGCUGUCUUGGUCUCUGUUCCCUGCCUUUGGAUCCCCUUCCCAGCUACUUGGACUGCCUGGUUAGGCCUCGGUAGGAUGCCUCAGGAUGGGGUGGUACCAAAUGGCAGCUCCUCUGAGGAGAAGGGGUGGGUCCAAUGGGGGAAGGGAUUUGUAAGGGUGUGAGGGUGGGAAAAGAGGAGGGAGGGGGCUGUGAUCAGGAUGUAAAGUAAAAUAAAAAAUACAAAUUAAAAAACAAGAAGCGCCGGGCGUGGUGGCGCACGCCUUUAAUCCCAGCACUCAGGAGGCAGAGGCAGGAGGAUUUCUGAGUUCAAGGCCAGCCUGGUCUACAAAGUGAGUUCCAGGACUGCCAGGGCUACAGAGAAACCCUGUCUCAAAAAACCAAAAAAAACAAAAAAAAC